CUCAUUCUUCUCGUUCUUUCCUUCCUUCACUCUCUCUAUUCUCUCUCGUCCUCCCCUCAUUCAAACAACAACCCAGAAAACACCACAAACCACCGCGACUCCCACCACAAACCACCGUGCAUGCCCAGUUUUCCGGUUGAUAUUCAACCGGAAAAUUCAAACCCUCAUGCAAACCAAACCCAGAAACUUAAAGCCGAACCCUAAUCCUCAAUCGAAACUCAGAUUCACCUAAUAAACCUCAAAUCCAAACAUGUAGCUAGGUGGGUGGUUCGACUCAAGAGAUUAGGGUUCUAAGGAUGAAACCCAGGUCUUUGAAUCUCCAAGGGCUUCGGUGUUCGUCACGGCGCCCAGCAAAAAAUCCCCCCCCCCAGAAAAUUCCUUUCAUCUGAUUUCUUCUUUUUGAUUUAUAGUUAGGUUUAGAUCUUAGUUUAGAAAGAUUAGAUUAGGUUAUUUCAUUUAUAUUUUGAUUCGAUUAUCCUUUGUAUCUUGUAAAUGAUUUGAAUCUUUAAUAAAAAUCAGAUUUCGAUUUUGUUAAGUUUA